rnacentral:rRNA from 1 species
AGGGAAUCUUCCGCAAUGGACGAAAGUCUGACGGAGCAACGCCGCGUGAGUGAAGAAGGUCUUCGGAUCGUAAAACUCUGUUGUUAGGGAAGAACAAGUAUCGUUCGAAUAGGGCGGUACCUUGACGGUACCUAACCAGAAAGCCACGGCUAACUACGUGCCAGCAGCCGCGGUAAUACGUAGGUGGCAAGCGUUGUCCAGAAUUAUUGGGCGUAAAGCGCGCGCAGGCGGUCUUUUAAGUCUGAUGUGAAAGCCCACGGCUCAACCGUGGAGGGUCAUUGGAAACUGGAAGACUUGAGUGCAGAAGAGGAGAGUGGAAUUCCACGUGUAGCGGUGAAAUGCGUAGAGAUGUGGAGGAACACCAGUGGCGAAGGCGACUUUCUGGACUGUAACUGACACUGAGGCUCGAAAGCGUGGGGAGCAAAC